rnacentral:rRNA from 1 species
AGAGUUUGAUCCUGGCUCAGAACAAACGCUGGCGGCGUGUCUUAAGCAUGCAAGUCGAGCGGCAAGGGCAGCAAUGCCCCUAGAGCGGCGGACUGGUGAGUAACGCGUGGGUGAUCUACCUUUGGCAUGGGGAUAGCCAUUAGAAAUAGUGGGUAAUACCGAAUACGUUCGGCAUCGUGAGGGUGCUGAGGAAAGGUGCUACGGCACCGGCCGGAGAUGAGCCUGCGUCCGAUUAGCUAGUUGGUGAGGUAAAGGCCCACCAAGGCUAUGAUCGGUAGGCGGCCUGAGAGGGUGUACGCCCACAUUGGGACUGAGAUACGGCCCAAACUCCUACGGG